GUGCCGGUGGGGCCGGUGGGGGCGGCAGCGCCCUGCCCUCCCCCCCCCCGUCCCCGUCUGCCCUCCGUGAGGGGAGCGGCGGGACGAGCCCCCGACAGGCGACCUCCUGGGCCCCUUCCCCCAGCGGCCCUGCCUCGAGGUGGCCCCAGGCUCGGGAGACGCGAGAUCGGAGCCCCCCGGGCUGCCGGGAGGAGAAGUGUCCCGUGAGGGAGCCAGUGCGCGGCAGGCGGGGGUUGGCGGGUGCCCCUGAGGGAACCUCGGGCACCUCCCGGCCGCUGCCGCGGUCACAGAGGGGCUCCCGCCGGGCUGGGGGCUGAGCCGCGAUCGCUGCGUCUGUCCCCCAGCGGCAGCUGCGCUGCGAGCGGUGAAUAACCAAGGGUCCUUCUCAGUGGGAGCUGACGUCUGAAGGUCCCUGCAGAAUCAUGUUCUGUGAAUCUCCAGUAAAUUGGCUGAUGGCAGCUUUUACUGUGCACCAAAGAGUACUUUAACUGGAAAGCCGAAUGCUGAAUUAAUCACAGAUAAAAAUAGCAAGCUGUUCAGUUUUCUUUGUGAAAUCAGAAAUAUUUCAAAAAUUUUCUACGAAGCUGAGUUUUCUCCAGAUGAAAGUCAAGAGCUAUAUAGCCAGCAAAGGGUACUCGUCAGUUCUUUCAGAGAAUUUAUUUUAGCAGUUCUUCCUAUUGUAAUAGAAAUAACUGCAUUUAAAACUUUAAAAUAAGGAGAACUUUUACUACAGAAAAACUGUAAUGGAAAAUUUUCUUUAAAGGACAUGAAAGACAUAUAAAGAAGUCCUAGAACCUCAUCUGGUCUGAAACUACAACACUUCUCUCUUUUCUGCUGUACCCAAGUGUAUUAACUCCUUGGACUUAGAUGUCUUGUGUAUACAUAGCUAUGUAUAAUCCAUGCAUCACAUAUCACAUACACCUCUGUGGCCUCUAAAAGCAUUACAUCUAAAUGCUUUGUAAUAAUUAGCAUAUUCUUUCUCACCACACAGCAGAGAAGUAUUAUCCCUAGUUUUAAGAUUAUGAACUGAAAGAAUAAUGACCUUGAGAAUCCAUUACAAAACAGAAGAAGCAGUCAAAUUUAACAUGUUCUUUAGCAUCUUAAUGUGUGUAUUUUUUAUUUUAACUAAGCGAAGAAAAACAUUCAGAUGAAUUGGGAUGCAUAUCUAAAGGAAUCUUCUAUCUUUCAGUGCACAAUACAGUAAAUCACUCAUAAGAAGCAGUCUUAGAAGUUGAAUUGACUUUAUUUGAACAGAAUACAUUAAUCUAGAAAACAAGCUAACUUUUUUUUUCUAAACACUGACAAAUGCAAGAGACAGCACAGGUAUUACUAGAGAAGCAGUAGUUUCAUUAUCCGUUAAACUACUUAAGAGUAACAAAACACAUUACAGUUUAUUAGGACAAUCUAUGUGUGAGUACCUGUCCUAGCAAGUUCUAUCAUGCACUCAAGUGAGAUAUAAACUAUCCAGUCUUUAAGUUUACUAACAUCAUAUUAUGCAAACAAUUUCAAGUAAAUACUUUUACCUAAUUUGAAAAAUUUGCCACCUUCCACAGCACCACAUGAAGUUCUGGUGUUAAAAUAACAUUUAAUCCACAGCAAUAGCUAAAUAUUUGAAAUACUUAUGUAAUACAUUGUAAACUCUACAUAAACACUACAUACACCCAAUAAAUAAAUAAAUACAAAGAACAGGAAGAUCAUUUUGAUUAGCAAAGAAAUGUAUCGCCAGAAUCAUUUUUCUGUUCUUACGACUUAUCCCCAAACCACUCCCAGAAAAGGCACAGAUAGUGGUGAUUUUUUUUUUUUUAAACACACAAAGCCAGAAUCAACACAGUAGGCCUGAGCAGUCAAAGGCUGCUCUAUUUCUAGGAAAAACAGGUAAGAAAUUUGCAGUAGGUGUCAGAAUGUCCCAGGAAGAUUCAAUUCAACAGAAGAUCUCCAGCAUCUGCUUACUGUCCUAGGUUCAAAUGCAGACGAGAAUCAGACAUGAGGUUUAGCGGAAUGUUACUGAAUAUUUUGGAUAUGGGUGUUAGCUAGCGUAUAGCUUAUUAUAAAUAUUGUAGUUACUUGCAUAUUCCAAGGCAGUAGAGACUCAUCUCACAAUCAGCUAAUAAUAGCACUUGGUAGAGAUGGAGCUUUUAAAAUUAAAAUGGUUAUUACUGUUCAAAGAUUACACUUGUUAAAUAUUUGCGAAUACUUUUAGUAAACAAAACCUUUCAAUAUGUAGACCUUUUAAAAUGCAAUGUAACUACACAACUUAUCAUGUUUCCUUACACGUAACAGAGUAGAGAUGAGAAAAUGUAAAUCAUUCCAAUGUUUGAUUAAUACAGCAUCU